GACGAACGCUGGCGGCGUGCUUAGUACAUGCAAGUCGAACGGAAAGGCCCUGCUCUUGUGGGGUGCUCGAGUGGCGAACGGGUGAGUAACACGUGAGUAACCUGCCCUUGACUUUGGGAUAACUUCAGGAAACUGGGGCUAAUACCGGAUAGGAGCUCCUGCUGCAUGGUGGGGGAUGGAAAGUGUCGGCGGUUGGGGAUGGACUCGCGGCUUACGGGCUUGUUGGUGGGGUAGUGGCUUACCAAGGGUGUGACGGGUAGCCGGCAUGGGAGGGUGGCCGGCGACCAGAGGACUGCGAGACGGAGCAGACGCGUACGGGAGGCAGCAGGCGGGAGUAUUGCACAAUGGGGGGACGCGUGAUGCAGCAGCGUUGCGUGCGGGAUGCCGGCUUUUGGGUUAUAAACCGAUUUCUACGGUGACGAAGCGUGAGUGACGGUAACGGGUAAAGAAGCAACGGCUAACUACGUG
rnacentral:rRNA from 1 species